UAGAAACCCUCAAAAGGUUAAUAAAUUCGAGUUCGGUCCGUCUCUUCCGCGAAUACCACGCGGAGACGACGACCUCUCUCGCUCGCGCUUUCUCUCUCUCCCCCUCUCCCGACCGACGGAGAAAGAGUGAGAGAUCGAGAAGGGAGAAAUAGAUCUCCGAAAACCCUAACACUAACCCACAUCGCCAGCGAUUGGAGAUCGAAAUCCGCGGUUCAUGGCGUCCUCGCGGGUGAUGGCGUCCUCCUCCUCGGCGAAUUCCGAUCUGACGCGCCAGUCUUCCAUCUGCUCCCUUCCAGUCACCGAUCUCCAGAGCUCCAUCAGCGGCGGCGGAGAGCUCACCAAGAACCUCGGCUCCAUGAGCAUGGACGACCUCUUCCGCAACAUAUGCGGCGACAACCCCGUGGCCUUCGCAGGCGGCGCGGAGGGUGGAGUCUCGGUGUCCCGGCAGGGUAGCUUCGCGUUUCCGAAGAGCGUCGGCGAGAAGUCAGUGGAUGAGGUGUGGCGGGAGAUCACCGCCGGCCGGAAGGCGGACGGCGGGGAUGGACCCGGAUCGGAGAUGACGCUGGAGGACUUCCUGGCGAGGGCCGGGGCGGUGGGGGAGGACGACGUCGGCGUUCCGUCGGGAUCGAGCCAGGUGGCGUUUCAGCCGCAUCCGGUAGUGGGGGAUCGGUUGGGGCAGCCGCAACAGUUGCCCGUGGAGAAUCCUGCUUUGGGGCUUGGGAAUGGAGCGGAGGGUGUUGGAAAGGUAGGGAGAGGGAAGAAGAGAUCGGUGUUGGAUCCGGUGGAUAGGGCUGCGCUACAGCGGCAGAAGAGGAUGAUAAAGAACAGGGAGUCCGCAGCUAGAUCGAGGGAGAGGAAGCAGGCUUAUAUUGCUGAGCUUGAAUCUUUAGUCGCACAGUUGGAGGAAGAAAACGCACAGCUUUUGAGAUCUCAGGUUGUUCUGUUUUACAAUGGGUUCUGUUUAAACUAUUACUUGCAGGAGCAGCAGCAAAAGAUGAGAGUUAAGCAGGUAUGAGCAUCCAACAGAAAUCAAAGUGCUCCCUGUUGUUUCUCCCAUCACAAAUGAGUUUAUCAGUUUAAAGUCCCAUGUUGAAGAUUCUCAUUCUAUUUGAAUUAUUUUUACACACAUUUAUAACCAUUAUGUUAUGUCUAUGGCCCUGCUCAUAAAAAAAGAAUAAUUUUAUUCUACUGAUUCUGAUGCAUGGGAAUUUUAGUAUCUGUAAGCUAACCAAUUUAGUACCUUACUAUGUUUUCAUAGAAAACAACUUUUGAUUAUUUUGUUUUUACUUGAACUAGUUUUAAUGGUGACAAUAGGAGCAUGUAUAUCUCAUAUGCCGCUUAGGAGAUGAUUCAGGCUUUGUAUUAGUCUUCGGGCCUUAACGGUGGAGUUGUAUACUAAGUGGGUGAAGCUAUAUAAUGAUUCACUGUGUCGAAUAUGCCUACCAUUGAAAUCUUGGGUUUAAGCACAAAUGGCAUGUAGUUUAAGGCAUCUGAGUUAUUGGGUCAGUGGUUCUUUUAGACUGGGUCAUGCACUUGUAUGCUACAUAUUAGUUAACUUGUGUAUCUUAUUUGUAUCUGUUUGAUGCAUGACAUUGUUUAUUAGCUUUAUUCAAGACAACAUAUUCAACAUGCGAAAUAACAUGGUAGUUGUACAAUGUAUUGAUUGGUGAAUUAACUUCAUUUACAUCGAUAGCUCUAUCCAAAACCAUCAAAAAAUUGAAAAGGUAAGAAUACAUGUCUUGUAAACUAACUUUACUCAUAUUGUGAAGAAAACCAAAACUAUGUUUCUCUAAAUAAGCAAAAAAAAAAAAGACUGGAAAAACCUGAUGUAAUUUUUCUUUUCUUGGUUGAUUUAUUAUUUUCUUAUUUCACUCUAUUAUUUUAUCUAGCCUGUAACUUUGGAAUUGCUUAAAUUAUGAAAGUUAGUUCACCGACCAAACCAAACAUAAUGAAAACACCAUGGGUUGUCUUUCCUGUGUAUGUGUGUGCAAGGAUACGCACAAGGACACACUCGCAAUGAUGUUUCUGUUACUUGCCUAUUUCAUAAUUUAGUGAAAGAUGAUGUGCCAAUACAAUAUUAAAACUUGGCUGAAGCUUAAGACAUGUAAGCUAUUGCAUGAUUUACCAUGAUCAUCCAUGUUUAUUUAUGUGACAUGAUAUACAAUUUUAAUAUACACCACAUGUAUGCUAAUAAGAUAUUUGCAACUAUUUUGAUUUCUUUAACAUUUCAUCAAUGUAAAGGUUCUUUCUAUGGAAAACAUAUGUACUUCUUGGUAUGAAUGCCCAAAAUAAUCUCAUAGAAUUCCAUUUUAAGAUAUUUAAUAUGAGCAUUUUGGAUUUUUUUUAAUGUGUUGUGGAUUUAUUUCUGAUCUUAUAAAUAUUUUGAUUUAUUACAUUAUAUUUGUAUUUGAUAUUCUGACAUGUUAGUUCCAAGACUCUUGCCUUUUCAGUAACAGCAACCGUGGUGUGGGCUCUCCUUAAGUCCUUAUUGGUCUCCUCUGUAUGAUAUCUUUAUAUUUCUGGUUUCUAUCUGACUGCUAUUGAUAAAAGUGACAGUGUCAGUAAUAUAUGUAGAAGUAGGAUGAGGUUAGGCAUCUAAUAUGUCUCGGUAAUUUAGAAUUUUGUUCAUUUUGCUUCAUAUUUACCUAUGCACUUAUAUCCAAGAUCAUGAAAUUUACUAAUUUAUGAAGCUUGCACUUAUCAUGUCUCUUAAUCUGUCUUGAGCUGUCUGGUUGGGCUAGUUGAAUCCGAACUCAAAAGCUAUUUACCCAAGAACAUACUAAAGCUUUUGGAAAACAUAGUACCAGUUACUGAGAUGAAAAAACCACGCCGAAUUCUGCGAAGAACUUGCUCUAUGGAGUGGUAGAGAGAGAGAAAGAGAGAGAGGGGGUAUCAAAGUUAGACUCAGGAGAUUUGUUUCCAGUGAUCCUUUUGAGUGGAUUUUUUUGCAGUGUAUAAAGAGAACCCAUCCAUCCAGGACAGGUAGUAGAACAACAUUUGGGCGUCAUGAAGGAUGACGGUUGUGUUAUCAUCUCAUUGUUUAGCUAUAUUAUCUUCAUCAAAAGGAGUGGUAUCGUACAGAAAGAAACAUAAAUAAGCAACAGAUGCUAACCACUCACAAACCCUGACUGUCUGAUUUCUCAUCUUAAACUUGUUUCCAUGGUUUUAAUUCAAACCCACCCUUUUUAGGUGUUGUUCCUGUUCA